rnacentral:rRNA from 1 species
CACGCCCUAAACGAUGUCAACUAGCUGUUGGGAGGGUUACCUCUUAGUAGCGCAGCUAACGCGUGAAGUUGACCGCCUGGGGACUACGGUCGCAAGACUAAAACUCAAAGGAAUUGACGGGGACCCGCACAAGCGGUGGAUGAUGUGGAUUAAUUCGAUGCAACGCGAAAAACCUUACCUACCCUUGACAUGCCCGGAAGCGUUAAGAGAUUAACGUGUGCUCGCAAGAGAACCGGAGCACAGGUGC